GGAGGAGUAGCGAAGUGGCCAAACGCGGUUGACUGUAAAUCAAUUCCUUAGGGUUCGGUGGUCCAAAUCCACCCUCCUCCA
rnacentral:tRNA from 1 species